rnacentral:lncRNA from 1 species
AAUUGGUGCAAUCUAGUUAAUUUGGGGCAUUGUCAUUCAUGGUUUGUUGAAAGAGUAAUUGGAAAUCGAGUCGUAUGCAUAUGUUUCAUGUGUGGAGAAGGAACCCUCUAGCUAGCCUUUCCCCAUUCUAUUUCAUCAAAAUCGUUUUUGUCAAGUUAGUUUACAAAGUUUUGUUUUGUUUUGAAAUUCGUCCAAAAUCAAUCCCCCUUUACUUAGUUGAGUCAUAGUAGUUAGAAAUCAUUUUAGUUUGUGUUUUUAAGUGUCUUAGGUCAAGUGAAAACCAAUUUUCGUCCAAAUUUGUGUCUAGUGUUCAAAACUGCCCAGAUUGUGGUUUUAAGGCAGUUUUGAGUGUUUCUGGGCUGUUUUGAGUCUUUUGGUUUGUUUUGGUGUUUUAAAGUUUAGUUUUGCAUUCUUUGAGUCUAGUUUAGUGUUUAAACUUGUUUUACGUAUUUGAGUCAGUUUUCAAGUGAUUUUGCAAUCCCUCCUAAUCCCCGGUUUAGAACGAUCCCUACUUACAUACUUUGCUACAAUUGAUAAAAAGAGGGUUAAUUUGUGUGUCAACAUAAUUUUCACAUCAGUGUCCCAAAAUGCAUAAAAGGCAAUCAAAGUGACUGGAACUUAAGGACAUUUAGGAAUAGGAAAGGUCAACCAAAAUAGGAAACCUUGGCUUAACUUUCCUACUUCAAGUAGGAAUCCUUGUUCUUCUAGGAAUCCUCAAAUGAGUAGGAAUCCUUUUUCAAUUAAGAAUCCUUUGUUGAUUAGGAAUCCUUCUUGGAUUAGGAAACCAACUUUCUUCAAGACUUCAAUUCAUCCAUUUCUUUUGCUCCAAAAGGCUCCAUUUUGCUUCUUUUUGCACACUUUGACCUUAGAACCUGAAAACACACAAAAGUGACUUUAAACACUAAAAUAGCUAAGUAAACACAACCUAACUGCACGAGAACAAGCCAAUUAAGUAGCAUAAAUAUGCUCCUAUCAGUAGGGAACUUGUAGGGAAUGUUUUGGGUUGUCGUAUGCAAUCAUCCAACUCAAUAACUUGUGAAAAAAACUGAGGUUUAAUUAGUGCAAUUCACGGUUAAUUUGAGGCGUUGAGUAUUCAUAGUUUAUUGAAAAGCAAUUGGAGAUCGUUUUGUAUGCAAGUGUGACAUGUGUGGAGAAGAACCUCCUAGCUAGCCUUCCAUCCAUAAGUUUCAUUCAAUUUCAUUUACAAUCUGUUUUGUUUUACAAAGUUUGUUUUUGUUUUCAAAUUCGUCAAGAACCAAUCUCCCAUUUAUUUCAAAGUGUUAGAUUAGUUAGUAAUCACUUUAGUUUGUGUUUUUAAGUGUUUUGAUUCACCCAAAUUUGUCUAAGAAUCUGUUUACUUUGUUCUUGUCUUAAUUUAAUUAUUUUCGUCCAAAAUCAACCCAUCUUAUUUCUUUGAGUCAUAUUAAUUAGAACUUGUCUUAGUUGGUUAGUUCUUAUGCAUUUAUGUUGUGUUUUCUUAGUUAAGUUAGUCUUUUAAGCUAUUUUCAUGUGUUUUCAGGUUUUAAGGACAAAGUAAGCAAAAAGAUGCAAUUUGGAGCAUUUUGGAGCAAAAUUGAGCUAGAAUGGAGCUCAUGCAUGUGGAGCACAAAGAAUGGACGAAUUUGAAGGAUUGAUGAGCUAGGAAUGUGUUUCAAAGUUGAAGACUUGAAGAUGCAAAGUUUCCUAAUUGAAGUGGGAAAGUGCUUAAUUGAAGAUGAAAUCCUAGUCAAGCAAGGAUUCCUAGUUGAAGAAUGAUUCCUAAGUGAAGUUGGAUUCCUAGAAGAUUGAAGUUUCCUACUAAAAAAAAAAAGGUUUCCUACUUGAAGAAGGGAAGUUAAAGCCAAAGAAUCAGCUCAAGUGAAGACACCUUAUCCAAAACAUUAUCCAAACCCUAUCCUAUCAUAUCCUAAUCCUAAUCCACCUAUAUUUCAGCUACUUGGGAGGAUUCCUAGCUAUAUUAGGAUGCUUAAAAUCAGAUUUCUUGAAAACCUAAUCCUUUCCUACAAAAAUGGCGCCUAGAACCUUUCUAGAAGACCUUUGCCUUGCAUUGCAAAUCAGCCAUUUUCCCUCCAUUCUGUGCCGUGAGUUUUUACCCAAUUCCCUUGGGAUUUUGGUUUCUAGAAGCCCUUAUCCCUUCCUAGAUAAGUGCCGCACCUUAUCCUCCCAUUCCCUUUGGAUUUCUGAUUUGUUUUCCUUCAAGGAUUGUGUUUUAUUUUCCUAUGCAACUUAGGCCUUUAAAUCAUUUUCCUUUGCUACCUAGGGGCUGUGAUUUUCAGCCUAUAUAUAUGCAGUGCCGCACCCUUUCAUUCACACCACCCUCUAGGAGAUUUUCACUACAUCAUUCACCCAAUCAUCCCUCUUGUGCCGUGAAUUUGCAAAGGAGAAGGAAGGAGACUCUUGGAGCCGUGCAUGACAUUCAAGGAGCUUGGAUUGUUGGAGCGUUUCUAGGUGUUUUCUAUCUUUAUGUUAAUGUUUAGAUUUAUUUAUCUUUGUUUAUUUGCGAACAUGAGGAACUAAUUUCUUUAUAGUUAGAGGGGAAUUCAAAGCCAUGAUCAUAUGUUUUAUAUGACUUGAUUUCCUCCAGUUAUGAUUUCAUAAAUCGUGAAUGUGGUUUACUUAUCUAUUUGAUUGAUAACAUGUUUAUGUAUGUUGAUUGAGGGUCGACACUUAGUUCGCAUGCAUGAAUUUGAUGCUAGAGUAUAAGGGAAUUUCACCUAAUCGUUAUUAACUUAUAUUCAUAAGUAGUAAAAGUCGCUAGUCACAAUUGUGUUAAGUAAAUCCUUGGCAAGAAGUAACAUGCGUAUUCCAUAGUUUAUGAAUGCCUCGUCAAUGCUUAUGAUUUCCAUUGAACUUAAUGAUCUUUGAUAUGUGUCUCUAUCAUUGCGUAUUCCAUAGUUAGGGUCCUUGAUAAGAAAUAAUUUGGUUGUAAUGCGUAUUCCAUUCAAUUCAAUGAAUCUAGGGAAAUCUGAGAAUUAAUUGGUGCAAUCUAGUUAAUUUGGGGCAUUGUCAUUCAUGGUUUGUUGAAAGAGUAACUGGAAAUCGAGUCGUAUGCAUAUGUUUCAUGUGUGGAGAAGGAACCCUCUAACUAGCCUUUCACCAUUCUUUUUCAUCCAAAAUCGGUUUUGUUAAGUUUGUUUUCAAAGUUUAUGUUUUAACUUUCAAUAUGUGGAGUUUGGAAUUGGUAUGAGCAUAUGAUAUCCUUGGUUCUCGCAUCUAAGUAGUAGCAUUCCAUUAAUGAGAUCAUAUCUAAAUGCUUAUUAAUUCCAGAAAAUGCUUCCUUUGUUAUACAUAUAUGUGAGCGUUCGUUUUCAUAUUUACAUCAAUCUUCUCACAUAUAACUAGUAUAGGGUGUGUAGUUAGAAAAUCUGUGUGAAAAUUGAGUGCAUAUCUAGUAAGGAAUUGAGCAAAUUCUCUAAGGCAUGUUACUACAUUCAAAAUCAUGUUUUAAUUGGUUAAAUGUGAACUAGUACGUGGUGACUAUGAUUAAGUAUGUGCUUAAGUGUGAAGAUGACUAAAAUCUGUGGGAAUGAUGAUUUUUAAUAUGUCAUGUGCAUUGGGAAUCCCUGAGGCAAACGUUGGAAGGUUAGGUUAUGUUUUGAUUAUUUUGUUUCGUUUCGUUUUGUUUCUUUGUUUUGCUCGAGGACUAGCAAAAGCUAAGUGUGGGGGAAUUUGAUAGGAGCAUAUUUAUGCGCCUUAGUUAGUUAGUUCUUAUGCAUUUAUGUUGUGUUUUCUUAGUUAAGUUAGUCUUUUAAGCUAUUUUCAUGUGUUUUCAGGUUCUAAGGACAAAGUAAGCAAAAAGAUGCAAUUUGGAGCAUUUUGGAGCAAAAUUGAGCUAGAAUGGAGCUCAUGCAUGUGGAGCACAAAGAAUGGACGAAUUUGAAGGAUUGAAGAACUAGGAUUGUGUUUCAAAGUUGAAGACUUGAAGAUGCAAAGUUUCCUAAUUGAAGUGGGAAAGUGCUUAAUUGAAGAUGAAAUCCUAGUCAAACAUGGAUUCCUAGUUGAAGAUGGAUUCCUAGUUGAAGUUGGACUCCUAGAAGAUUGAAGUUUCCUACUCAAACAAGGUUUCCUACUUGAAGAAGGGAAGUUGAAGCCAAAGAA